ACAAGGAUUCCCCUAGUAACGGCGAGUGAACCGGGAAGAGCUCAAAUUUGAAAUCUGGCAGUCUUCGAUUGUCCGAGUUGUAAUCUAUAGAAGCGUUUUCCGUGCUGAACUGUGUAUAAGUCCCUUGGAACAGGGUAUCAAAGAGGGUGACAAUCCCGUACUUUACACAAUCAUCAGUGCUCUGUGAUACGUUCUCUACGAGUCGAGUUGUUUGGGAAUGCAGCUCAAAAUGGGUGGUAAAUUCCAUCUAAAGCUAAAUAUUGGCGAGAGACCGAUAGCGAACAAGUACCGUGAGGGAAAGAUGAAAAGCACUUUGGAAAGAGAGUUAAACAGUACGUGAAAUUGUUGAAAGGGAAACGAACGCUACGUAUCAUGUUUAUUGGACUCAGCCGAUCUUCGGUGUACUUCCUUUAAACGGGUCAACAUCAGUUUUGUCCGAUGGAUAAAGGUAGUAGGAAGGUGGCUCUCUCGGGAGUGUUAUAGCCUAUUGCCGCAUACAUUGGAUGAGACUGAGGACUGCAGCUUGCCUUUAUGGCCGGGGUUCGCCCACGUUCAAGCU
rnacentral:rRNA from 1 species